AUUUCACAACUUUCUACUUCACUUUUCAUUUAUUUGGUUUUCCUAUGCAGUCACAAAAGUUCUCUCUCCACAUUCAAAACCCAAAUUCCACCACCCCAGCCUCCUCAUUCCCCUUUCAUCGUCCAUGCACAUCGGAUCUGCGAACUACGGUGGUGGAGUAGUGCGGUUUUGAUGACCGCGAACUCAAGCGGGUGGUGGAAAAUCCGGUCACUGGUGAACGUCCGGUAGAAUAGCAGUGGUGGUGGCUAGAGAAAUGGAUGGAUGUGCAAAAAAAAGUGUGUCAUCGGGAAAGCUCGUGGUGGACAGAGAUUCUGCGGUGGUGGCGAAGUCACACAAUUUUGGGUUUCUUCCUUUCUUUCUAUUUUGCUUCUGAUUUUGUUAGUAUUUGUUUGCUUUAUUUUUCUUUGGGUGUGAAAUUUAUGUUGUCCAUGGUAUCAGUGUAUUGGUGAUGAUGAAGGAUGAUUUUGAGAAAUGGAGGUUUGACUCUGUAUUGAUGAUGAAGAAAAAAGAUUCCAAAAUUGAAGAGUUUUGGUGUUCAUGUUGAAGAAGAAAAGAUACAAAGUUAUUUUUUUCAUUUUCUUUCUACUUAUGUUCUUUUUCUGUCGUGUGUUGUUGCAUUCUUGGAUUUUGAUUUACACACAGCAACAAUGAAAUCGAUGUUGAUGCGAGUUUUUGGACACUAACAAAUAUUUUGUGUCAUACAAGUCGUUGAAAUUUUCAUGAUUGCAGGUAAAAUCUGUGCAAAACACGUGUAUUCUAACAGGUUUGUACUGGAGCUAAGAGUGAGGUACAAUCGAAAUUGACAGCAAGAAAGGGAGAAAAUAACCAAUCGAGUGUCAAUGAUGCAUGAUUACAACUGAAUUUACCUAUUAGACCCUUGAAUGCUGGAAGUGCUGGACACGAAGGAAUAAAAGUUAAUAUCGUUGAAUCAAGACAUUUUGUAAAUUUCAUCACAGAAUAAGCUCCUGACAGAGAUCUUCAAUAUUAGGUCCAAUCAAUGCACAUUUUAGUACAUAUUACUGAAGCGAAAAAAAGCGAUUGAAUGGAUUUUAGCAAGUGUGAUGGUGAUUAUUUUUGAGAAUUCAUUCUUUUAUCAAGGGCAGAUUUUAAAUCGAUGUUCAAAACUAUGAAUCCUCAAGAUUUCAACAGCCACCGAUUAAAGUAUGGUUCUUCAUGUAUAUGUUUCAAAGGGCUUCAUGCAUUAUGCUUGGCUUUGCAAUUUCACGGACUUAUAUUGAGCAGAAAAAUACAACGAAGAGAGCUAGAAUUUGGAGAUUUUGUAAACAGAAUGUAGAUUUUCAAUGAAUAGAAUGGAGAUUUUCAAUGAACAGAUUCUGUAAAGGAGAUAUAAUGAUAGCUAUAUAACUAUAUCAUUUCCUAUAACUAUAUCAUUUUCAUCCCACCUUGAAUGAUAUAGUGAUAGCUUAUUGAAAUAGGAUGCCGGCUGAGCGGUAUAUAUAACCUAUAAACUCAUUACACAAAAAAUUUAUGUUCGCCGUUUCAAUUCAGCGCUUUGAUUCGGUGCUUCGAUUUGACGCUUCGAUAAAUUUGUAACUUACAAAACCUGCUGCUGUGGACAGGCAGGAAGGAAACUAGAAGUAAAUUCCAUUUCCUUUAACUCCCCCUUCAAUCUAUGACAAUUUUUUAUAGUAGAAAGUUUGAACUUUUA